GGUUUUGAGACUAUGUUAGUAUAUGUUUUGUUGGGUGUAGUACCUUUUGCAUCAUGAUUSUCGGGUAGUGUCYAUGGAGUGUGGUGUCCCGAAAGGUAGUGAUUUAUUUUGCCCUUGCUUGGAGCUGAGGUGUGGUUGAGUUGAUCUUUUGAGAGGGUGAAAUAGGGGUGAUAUGCUAUUUYGUACUAUUUUAUAACUGGUUGACGCUGGAUUUUUUAGAGUUACGCUUUUUGCUUUGAGGUGAUUGGUGAUUUCAGAGACUUUGUUAUUAGGGUUUGUUAGGGGGUUAGAGGUACCCUGGUUCAAAUUUUGUGUUAUAACAUUUAGAGGAUUGUUGUUGUCUUGGUUUAGUUUGGUGUCUAUGUAACUGUUUAGUGAGUUAUCGGGGGAAUAAGUAGUUUAAGAAUUGCUGUGUUUUUGUCUCGAUUUUUGUUCGUCUGUUUAUUAAAAACAUUUCUAUCAUUAAGUGUUGAUGGUAGUACCUGCCCAAUGGCUUAGGGUUUAAUGGCCGCAGGAAUAAACUGUGUUAANGGUAGCGUAAUUAGUUGCCUUUUAAUUGAAGGAUUGUUUGAAUGGUUUGACGAGAUGAAAUUGAAAUGUGCAGUGUGYGGUGAAUUUAGAGUGUCUGUGCAGAUCCAGGUAAUGAUUAGUAAGACGGAAAGACCCYRRGA
rnacentral:rRNA from 1 species